UGAUCUUUAUCGCAAUUGUCCGUGCUUCCGAUGAAAUAUUCUCUCCAGUUCCCCCGAUUACCCUCGACCCUUCGUUUGCCCUUGGAGCUUGGGUAAUAACUUUUGAGUAAAAAGUGAUGAACGGCAGUGGCUUAAAUCCACUUUUUUAGCUUCUUCUUUCGGACAACAUUGUAUCAGGACUCUUAAGUAUAAGUUGUCGCUCACUUUUCUGGUAUUUAGUUGAAUAACUCGCGGCUGCCGAAGAAGGAGAAGCUGCGGCGACACAAAAGUGAUCAGUUGUGCUCGGAAUUAUUAAUUAAUAUUCUUGCACCUUCCGAAACUGUGUCGAGAUGUGGAGUAGUAACAAGCCUUUCAAUAAAGCAGAUCAUAAAAACAAAAUAAAAAAGCGCAACAACUACGAUUGCAGACAUGACCGUGAAAAGUAAAAAAGAAGAGCAAAUAAAAGUGAACGAAGGAGCUGUACCCUAAAAGAAUUAUAGCGCGUCAUGAAUGAUAGUGUCAAAAGUGUUUUAUUGAUUGCAUUAAACAAAAGAAUAAUGCAAAUGGUAUCAAAUCGAAUGGACUAGAAAAGGCUUCCGAAACUGUGUCGAGACGUGGAGCCUUUCAAUAAAGCAGAUCAUAAAAACAAAUUGAAAAUAAGUCACAACUACAAUUGCAGAUGUGACCGUGAAAAGAAGAUAGAAAGGAGAGCAAAUAAAAGUAAACGAAGGAGCUGUACCCCAAAAGUAAUAACGCUCGUGAUGAAUGAAAGUGUAAAAAGUGUUUAUGUAGUGUUUUAUUGGUUGUGUUAAACAAAACUGUACUUCAAUGCAAAUGGAAUUUUAUGAAUAAUGAGCAAUGCAAAGUGGAUUAGGAACGGGGUAGUUUCCGCUGUGGCACGCGAAUUGAGGAGCGUGCUGUGAAGUCGAGGACCCUGGUUACGCCCCUUUUUGGCUGGCUGAUUUAUCAUACCACGGAUUACUUUUGGGAGCUGAGCAUAUAGAUUGAAGAAAGGCAAUACCAUAACGAUGCGCGAAGGCCGUAGUUUUUUAAUAGCCUUAAAAUAAUAUAAUAUAUAAUAAUAAUAAUAAAU